CCUCGUAGCUAAAAUGUCUAAAGCGCUGGCCUUGUAAGACAGAGACUGGGAACUAACGCCCC
rnacentral:tRNA from 1 species